rnacentral:misc_RNA from 1 species
GUUGGGGUAGCAGAUUCACCUCACAUUCAUAGAUAGAUACGUACCCUUUACUAAUUCUGGAUAUGAUAAGAAAUUCGGCAUCAAUCAAAUGACAAUUGACAUCAUGAAUGAAACCUACGUGAAUACCAGACAUUAGGUUAGUUAUUUUGUGAAAUAGAUUUUGAUAGACCGAUCUAAAUAUUCGGUCAUCAAAUAAUUCAGUUGUUGUAGCUUAUAAAUGGGGUUGAAACGAAUGUCCAUGUUUCAGUAUCACUGCACCUGCCCUUAACAAUAAAAAUUCCAAAUUGAAGUGUGCGAGCGGAACGAACGAGGUCCGAGCUACGGCCGAGGUGAAUCGAUAACCAACGAUGUGGAAUUUAUAAAAAUGUCCGGCGGGCGGCGGCCGCGGAGAGCGUCUGCGCUCUUGCUUUUUCACGUGUUUCUCGGUGCGCGCUGCUCGCACGCGCGGCAGCGAGGCGCGUGCGAGCGAGACAGGCGCCGUGGCUUGCUUCCCGGUGCGCGCGUGUGUCUGCCGCUGUGCACGCAGACAUGUUUGCUCGAUGCCCUCGUUGCGGUGUGACGUCUACUCGAUUGAGAUAUUUAUAACGCCGACAUUAGCAGUUUUACUACAAAUUUUAUGAAGUUAGUGUUUUCAAAUAUAUUAUGGACAUCGUUUGUUAGUAAAAAGGUAAAUUGGAAUUGGUAGUUACAUAGAAGGGUUCGAGUUUGGUUCGUUGAAGUAUUCGGUUAGCAAUGUCAGCCGGCAGCGGCAAGCGGAAGAAGGCGACGGACAGCGGGGGCGAGGAGAGCGGCGCGGGCGAGGUGGGCCGGCUGGUGGACUGCAGCCAGGCCGACGACCGGCGCAUGAUCCGGCUGGUGCGCGAGCGGCCGCUGCUGUACGCGCGCAACAACAUGCCCGUCGCCAGCUACUACGCGCGCGUCAAGAAGCUGUGGCAGCAGGUCGCCGACCUCAUGGGCUGGACCGUGCCGGAGGUGCGGCGCAAGUGGUCGCACAUCCGCAACUCGUACUCGCGCCACCUGCGCAACGAGAUGUACGGCGUGCGCACCGGCCGCGGCCGCAUCGUCUCCAAGUGGUACCUGGCCGACGAGCUGGACUUCCUGCGCGAGCACAUGGCCACGGACACGAGGCCGGCAUCGCGCUACUCGUUCCCGCUGUUCGAGGCGGAGGCGGCGCCGGAGCUGCCGGCGCUGCUGUCCAGCCCGUGGCUGGCGCUGGCGGGCGCGCCGCACGCCGCGCCGCCGCCGCGCUCGGGGGAGCCGCAGCUGCGUCCGGACGACUCCUCCAGCCCGCACUCCUUCGACCCCGACGAGAACUCUGCCUACUUCCAUUUCUUUCGUGGAAUCCACAACGACUAUCAGGAGUUGCCCGCUAAGAAGCAGAGGUUGUUCCGGCGCGAGUGCCUCGCCUUCCUGCACCGGCUGCUGGACGAGGAGGAGCCUGUCGGCCAGCAGGAGGCGCCGGGCUCCGACGACGAGCGGGAGUGCAAGCCGUGCAUCGUGGACCACUCGGUGCGCAGCGUGUGCGCCGAGCCGGAGCCCGACCCCGACGCUCGCUGAGCGACUGCUCCUCUCGCUAACCUAGUCUAAUUGAUAAUCUUAAUAUAGAAUAGUACGUCAUGGUCUAUAAUACGUAAAAUGAUGUUUGUUCGCGACACGAAUUAACAAAAUAUUGAAUACAUUUAUGGAUGAACAUGCAUGAUGUUAUAGCUGGAUGCUAUGACUUAUUUUCCUUAACCCAACACAUUUUUGUUUAUCACACACCUAUCUAAUUUCAAUAUUUAUCUUUAAAUUAUUCCUAAACUCAACUGGAAUUCAAAAUCAACCAAAAUUACUUCUUUUCUAUUUUCAUUAAAUUCAGUAAGCAAGCUGUAUGCUCACAUUAACGUGCUCUCUGAUGCACGGGUGGAACCCGGCAAUCGAACCCGAGACCUCGUGCACAGCAAGUCGCUAUGCGACCACUAGGCGAUACCACUAUCUGACACUGUCUUGUCGGCCUAGUGGUUCGAUUCAUAUUCGACUGAGAUCCAAUCCCGACUCAAUUACGAUUGAAGCGUAUGUGGCAUUCCGCCAUUUUUUCUUUGAAAUACGUAAACGUUUUUAUACUCUUCAGUCAUUCAAUAAUGAUAUCAUUUUGUCUUCAAAUGAUUUACGAUUGCAAUAUGAUUGUAGAGCAAAAUCACCAAAAUAGCAGACCAAUCGCAAACCAAUCGAAUGUCGUUGGAAUACGAUUGGUCUUAUAUUAGUAGCAGAAUGCCCGAUAUGAUUAAAACUGCUAUUGCGAUUCAAUUUCUAUUCGAUUUUGACAUUAUUAACUUAGGAGAAUCGUGCCCCUGGUCGAAAUCAGCGUUCAGUAAGUACUACGACUGGCGUGUUCGACAUUACAACUAGUCAGCAGCGGGAUCGGAGCUGACACGAGUGAUUGAAUGUCACGUGCAGACAUCUGAAAUAAACGAUUAUUUAUUUAGUUAUUUUACCUACAAAUCUGUAUUAGUAUAAUAAAGAGACAAUAUUGUU